UCCAACCCAAACCCUUCCGUGAACCCUCUGCAGACACGGCACCCUGUGUCAAGGAGGUUCACUGUUAGUCAGGUGGUAUUUGAGCAAUAACUUCCUCUUUCCUUCCUUACUUGACCUUUCCUAACUUACUCCACCAUCCUCUGGUUUCCCACUGGAAAAGUUUCUGUAGGAGAUCUCGGUUCUGUGUUAAAUGUGUGCUGGUGCCCUUGUAGUGGAGGACAACAGUGGGGCACCUAAGCAGAGGGUUUUCCUGCAGUGGUUGUGGCUGCUCAGAUUAAAAAGCAGACAAGUUUUUGUCUUUCUCUUUUCUCUAGGAGAUAAUGACUUCUUAACCUCUCUUCCUCUCUCUGACACCCCCUCUACUCCACAGUGUUAUCAACACAAUGCUGGUGACAUGUGCUGUUUGCUGCUACCUGUUUUGGCUGAUUGCAAUUCUGGCUCAACUCAACCCCCUCUUUGGGCCGCAGUUAAGCAAUGAAACAAUCUGGUAUCUUAAAUAUCACUGGCCUUAAGGAUGUCUGUCCUCUGCUGCAAUUUAUUGACUAG
rnacentral:lncRNA from 1 species